UACGUAGGGUGCGAGCGUUAAUCGGAAUUACUGGGCGUAAAGCGUGCGCAGGCGGCUUCGCAAGUCAGGCGUGAAAUCCCCGGGCUUAACCUGGGAAUGGCGUCUGAAACUACGGAGCUGGAGUGUGGCAGAGGGAGGUAGAAUUCCACGUGUAGCGGUGAAAUGCGCAGAUAUCAGGAGGAACACCGGUGGCGAAGGCGGAUCUCUGGGCCUUACCUGACGCUGAGGCGCGAAAGCUAGGGGAGCGAACAGG
rnacentral:rRNA from 1 species